UCUUUUUUUCACUACCAAUGGAUUUUGAUAGAAAAUGGAUUCAACAUAUUAUUGACAUGCAUUAACUUAUUUAACUCAUUCCUUUCUAAAAACCAAAAUGGAAUCCUGUUUUAAAUCAACUCAGGUACUUGAAUCCCCUUUUGUUCACUUUGGUUCUAUGUUGUUAUCCACUUCGCUUUAGCUAAUCACCCUAGUUAAUAACAGUUCCAUAAGCCAAACUAACUUCAUACUAUCACCAAACAGUUCCGUUGAUUCCUACUUUAUAAUCUUUUUUCAUAAUUGUAAUCGUGUAUACAUCAAUGGAAAUGGUCUAAUGGUUAUACACUUGUCUUUUUCUCAAUCCAAUCAGAGUACGAAAUACUAAAGUGUCAAUUUUAUAAAUAUUUCUUUAAAAAAACAAAAACAAAAACAAAAACAAAAACAAAAACAAAAGAAAUAAUCGUAUAGACAUCUCAAAGAUAUAUCUUGCUCUAUAUGAUUCUUCCAACUUGAUCCCUAGCCUAUGAAUAUUCUAUCAGCCUUCACAAAUUCACAGCUUAGGAUGGGACAUGGGAUAUGGUACAUCUUAAUGAUUGUACUCUUUCUACAUAUACAAAAUAUUAAAAGUAGGAAAACAGCAAACGAUAUUUUUAGUACUAUAAAUAUCUUCAUGGAUCCAAGUAGAGCUGGGAAUUUGGGUCAUUACCCGUGGAUCCUGCCCCAUUUGACCCGCUACGGGGCGGAUGCGGGUCGAUCGAUUUACAAGUUUCAGCAUGUGGAUGCGGGUUGAGUCGAUUUUUAACGAGACGGGUGUGGAUCAACCAAAUUUGAGUCGUGGGUAUCCGCCGACCCGCAAAAUUAAAAAAAUUAUUUUUUUUCUAAAUUUUUUUAAAAUAAAUAAAAAUAAAAAUAAAAUAUGUAAAAAUUAUAUAUAAAUUAAUGAAAAUUAUAUAAUUUAAAUUAUAAAUGUAUAAUUUUUAUUAUAAAAAGUAAUUAAUUUAUAAUAAAAAUAAUUAUUUAUUAAAUUUAAUAUUAUCCGCAGGCUCCGUGGGUUAUCCGCAAUCUUAGCGGGACGGGUGCGGGUUUACGAUUUUUCUUUCGCGGGUUAUGCGGAUCGGAAUUUUGAGUUUAAAAAAAGAAUCGAUCCGCGGGUUGGCG
rnacentral:lncRNA from 1 species